GUGAGGAAUAUUGCGCAAUGGAGGCAACUCUGACGCAGCCAUGCCGCGUGCAGGAAGAAGGCGCUACGCGUUGUAAACUGCUUUUAACCGGGAAGAAACCCCAGGACGUGUCCUGGGUUGACGGUACCGGAGGAAUAAGCACCGGCUAACUUCGUGCCAGCAGCCGCGGGAAUACGAAGGGUGCAAGCGUUAUCCGGAUUCAUUGGGUUUAAAGGGUGCGUAGGCGGAGCGUUAAGUCUGUGGUGAAAUCCUGCAGCUUAACUGUAGACUUGCCAUUGAUACUGGCGCUCUUGAGUGCGCUUGAAGUGGGCGGAAUGUGCCGUGUAGCGGUGAAAUGCUUAGAUAUGGCACAGAACACCAAUUGCGAAGGCAGCUCACUAAGGCGAUACUGACGCUGAGGCACGAAAGCGUGGGGAUCGAACAGGAUUAGAAACCCUUGUAGUCC
rnacentral:rRNA from 1 species